rnacentral:tRNA from 1 species
GUGGCUGUAGCUCAAUGGCAGAGCGCCGGGUUGUGGCCGCGGAGGUGCCGGGUCAGUACCGGCCAGUCACCCCA